AGGACUUCGGCACUCGAGACCUGUGGAUGCCGCGUUGCUGUGGCCUGCGGGGGUGAUCAUGAAGCCAGGUGCUACUGGCGAGUCCGAUUUGGCCGAAGUGCUGCCCCAGCACAAGUUCGACAGCAAGUCCCUGGAGGCCUACCUAAACCAGCACUUGUCUGGCUUUGGGGCCGAACGUGAGGCUACGCUGACCAUUGCCCAGUACAGAGCAGGAAAGUCCAAUCCAACCUUUUAUCUCCAGAAGGGCUUUCAAACAUAUGUGCUCAGGAAAAAACCACCAGGUUCACUUCUUCCUAAAGCACAUCAGAUUGAUAGAGAAUUUAAAGUCCAGAAAGCCUUGUUUUCAAUUGGAUUCCCCGUUCCCAAGCCUAUACUGUACUGCAGUGAUACUUCUGUCAUUGGAACAGAAUUUUACGUAAUGGAACAUGUGCAGGGUCGAAUCUUCCGUGAUUUAACAAUUCCUGGACUUAGCCCAGCAGAACGUUCAGCCAUAUAUGUGGCCACGGUAGAAACAUUGGCUCAGUUACAUUCCUUGAAUAUACAGUCACUGCAGCUGGAAGGAUAUGGUAUAGGUGCUGGGUACUGCAAAAGACAGGUAUCAACCUGGACAAAGCAAUAUCAAGCUGCAGCUCAUCAGGACAUCCCUGCCAUGCAACAGCUAUCGGAGUGGCUAAUGAAGAACUUGCCCGAUAAUGACAAUGAAGAGAAUUUGAUUCAUGGAGAUUUCAGACUAGAUAACAUAGUUUUCCACCCUAAAGAGUGUCGAGUUAUAGCAGUGCUGGAUUGGGAGCUGUCAACCAUUGGUCAUCCUUUGUCAGACUUAGCUCAUUUUUCCCUGUUCUACUUUUGGCCAAGGACAGUUCCAAUGAUAAAUCAAGGUUCUUAUAGUGAAAACUCAGGGAUACCAUCAAUGGAAGAACUGAUUUCAAUAUAUUGCCGCUGCAGGGGAAUUAAUUCUAUUCUUCCUAACUGGAAUUUCUUUCUUGCCCUUUCAUAUUUUAAGAUGGCUGGAAUAGCACAGGGAGUAUAUAGCAGAUAUCUUCUGGGAAAUAAUUCAUCUGAGGAUAGCUUUUUAUUUGCCAAUAUUGUGCAACCUCUGGCAGAAACUGGACUACAACUCUCCAAACGAACUUUCAGUACUGUACUACCACAGAUUGAUACUACUGGACAGUUGUUUGUACAGACUCGGAAAGGUCAGGAAGUUCUUAUUAAGGUGAAGCAUUUCAUGAAACAACACAUUCUUCCAGCUGAAAAGGAGGUAACUGAGUUCUAUGUUCAAAAUGAAAAUUCAGUGGACAAGUGGGGAAAACCUUUAGUGAUUGAUAAACUCAAGGAAAUGGCCAAAGUCGAGGGUCUCUGGAACUUGUUUUUGCCAGCUGUCAGCGGACUCAGCCACGUGGACUAUGCCUUGAUUGCUGAAGAAACAGGAAAAUGCUUUUUUGCUCCAGAUGUCUUUAACUGCCAAGCACCAGACACAGGGAAUAUGGAGGUUCUGCACCUGUAUGGAAGUGAGGAACAGAAGAAACAGUGGCUUGAGCCUCUUCUUCAAGGGAACAUUACCUCUUGCUUCUGUAUGACAGAACCUGAUGUAGCUUCAAGUGAUGCCACGAAUAUUGAAUGCAGCAUCCAACGAGAUGAAGAUAGCUAUGUAAUUAACGGCAAAAAAUGGUGGAGCAGUGGAGCUGGGAAUCCCAAGUGCAAAAUUGCAAUUGUUUUGGGAAGAACUCAAAAUACUUCUCUCUCCAGGUAAUUAAACAAUUCUGAUUGAGAAACCUGUGUAGGAAUGAGCCAGUCUUCCUCCUAUCUAGGUAAUUUACUUAAAAUUCACUGUUUGGACUCACAAAUCAUAAUGUAAGAUAUGAGAGUAAAUGUCAUAUAUUUGUAUUUCACAAGUAUUUUCUAACAGGUGUUUUUGGAAAACAUUAUAGGGAGUAUUGCUGAACAUUCUUCGCUGUGGAAUUUUCAGUAUUAGAAAGUGUUGCUAAAUUAUCAAAGCUGUUUGGAUUAAAUUAUCAGACAAAUUUUUUCAGACCUGUGUAAUGAAGUGAUUAGAUGUUUAGAUCAAAGGCAAUAAUCUUGAAAUGUUUAAUUAUAUAUAUAAGUUCCCAGUUACCAUUGUUGAGCAGUGAGAAGCUUCAAUCAAACAACUCAUUUAUUUUCAAAUCAUUGUUUCUGUUCCAGAUCACAGCCUGCAUCAGACUAUGUUGGUGUACGUCUUUUACACAGUUCCCAUUCCAGUCAUCACUGCUUACAUGACUACAUGAAAACAUCAAAAAGACAAUUGUGAUUCUGCUUAUUAUCUGUUUUAUUUUUCUUCUUAGCAAACUUUUUCUAAUACAAUUUUUCUUUUGACUAGACACAAACAGCACAGCAUGAUUCUUGUUCCCAUGAACACACCUGGAGUAAAAAUAAUAAGGCCUUUGUCAGUUUUUGGCUACACAGAUAAUUUUCAUGGAGGACAUUUUGAGAUCCAUUUUAAUCAAGUGCGAGUUCCUGCCACAAAUCUAAUACUAGGUGAAGGUAGGGGAUUUGAAAUUUCCCAAGGCCGCCUUGGACCUGGCAGAAUCCACCACUGUAUGAGAACAGUAGGUUUGGCGGAACGCGCUUUGCAGAUCAUGUGUGAGCGGGCAACACAAAGGAUAGCUUUCAAGAAGAAGUUGUAUGCACAUGAGGUUGUGGCUCACUGGAUUGCUGAAAGCCGCAUUGCCAUUGAGAAGAUCCGCUUGUUGACUCUGAAAGCUGCUCACAGCAUGGACACUCUGGGCAGUGCUGGCGCUAAGAAAGAGAUUGCAAUGAUCAAAGUGGCUGCCCCACGGGCUGUCAGCAAAAUCGUUGACUGGGCCAUCCAGGUGUGCGGAGGUGCUGGUGUUUCCCAGGAUUACCCUCUGGCUAACAUGUAUGCUAUAACCCGAGUUUUGCGUUUAGCAGAUGGACCUGACGAAGUUCAUCUUUCAGCAAUCGCAACAAUGGAGCUGCGGGACCAAGCCAAAAGACUGACAGCCAAGAUAUAAGGAGGGUGGCACUGCCACAUCCCACUGGCAGAAACUCUCCUUUAUACAAACUUCAUUGGCUCCAACAUUUGAAUCUCAUAUUUUUGUAGCAGUUUGAGCACAGGGUUAAUUAUUCAUUUGUGGUAAAGAUUAUAGCAUCUAUUUUGAUCAGUGGGUUUUAUUAUUUCAAGGGUCACACAGGGUUAAGUUCAGUAAGAAAUGCUGUAGCUGUUGUCAUUCAAUCUAGUGCCUCCUUGAGGCCAGGAGUUCAGGACCAGCCUGGGCAACAUAGCGAGACCCCCAUUGCUACAAAAAAUUUAAAAAUGAAACAAGUGUGGUGGCACAUGCUUGUAGUCCUAGCUACUUGGGAGGCUGAGGCAGGAGGAUUGCUUGAGUCUAGGAGUUUGAGGUUACAGUAAGCUGUGAUCGUGACAUGGCCUCCAGCCUGGGUGACCGAGUGAGACUGUUUCUAAAAAUAAAAACAAAAAAUAAAUUUCUUCUUGAGGUGGGGUGGAGGUGGGGAGCAAGAAUUUGACCUGGCUCUGAUCCCUGGUGUGUUGUGUGGGCCUCUUUAACGUUUGCCACUGAGCCUUAACCUCACUGUACUUCACUGUACUUCACACGCAUUGGUGUUAACAUUUUAAUCUUAGAAGACCCUGACCCACUGAGGGUUUGUUGUGAGAAUUGCUGAAGCCACGUAGAAGCACCUUGAAAUCUGUAAAACCACAAGAAAGUACUUUAUAAAAGGUAUCCUUAUUUGAAGUGGAUAAAUCUUGUAACUCGAAAAGUUGUGAUUUAGAAGACAGGAUUGUUUUUGAACAUUAGGAAUUAAAGGCUAUAUCUGGUCCUUA